rnacentral:rRNA from 1 species
UGGGGAAUUGUUCGCAAUGGGCGCAAGCCUGACGACGCAACGCCGCGUGGAGGAUGAAGAUUUUCGGAUCGUAAACUCCUGUCGAAUGGGACGAAAAGAUUGCGGGUUAACAGCCCGUAUUCCUGACGGUACCGUUAAAGGAAACCCCGGCUAACUCCGUGCCAGAAGCCGCGGUAAUACGGGGGGGGGUAAGCGUUGUUCGGAAUUACUGGGCGUAAAGGGCUCGUAGGCGGCCAACUAAGUCAUACGUGAAAUCCCUCAGCUUAACUGGGGAACUGCGUGUGAUACUGGACGGCUUGAGUAUGGGAGAGGGAUGUAGAAUUCCAGGUGUAGCGGUGAAAUGCGUAGAUAUCUGGAGGAAUACCGGUGGCGAAGGCGGCAUCCUGGACCAUUACUGACGCUGAGGCGCGAAAGCUAGGGGAGCAAA